UUGUUGGAGAGUUUGAUCCUGGCUCAGGACGAACGCUGGCGGCGUGCUUAACACAUGCAAGUCGAGCGGAA
rnacentral:ncRNA from 2 species